rnacentral:lncRNA from 1 species
GACGAAUAAUAAUAUUAUAUAAUAUUCUAGGUUAAUUUGUUGUACAUGAUGUGACAGCUACAAACAAUCUGCAGCAUCACUUCAUCAAUAUAUAUAUAAUUAAUUAAUUACCACAAUGGCCUUGGUUCUUUAUAUGAGUGACAGCUCCUUUCUCCCUCCAGUCGAUGCUAGUCGGAACAUCAGUCACGUUUUGGUACUUGAAGGUGGAUGGCCGUGAUGACUGGCGGCUUACGCUUGGUACUGGCCUGUUGUAUCCUGUAUAUAAAGCACGAAACUCCUCGUUAGUUAAGUCUGAAAAUUCAUUGGUGCCCAACUUGUACGUCCGAUUCCCCUCCUUGUUGGCUUUCCCAAUGUAUUCAAGGUUUUGCUUGAAUAUAUUAAGACGCAUUGCCUUCUCUAGCUCGUCCUUGUAAGUGCGUCCAUGCUGAGCCAUCCAUUGUUCGUGUUUCUCAACGAUGGACGGUUCAUGCAUCGACCGGCCGGACACCACUUGUGAUGCACAAGUGAUCACCAAAAUGAUGAUCACAAACAUGGGAAUGAUAAAGCUUUUCUCAAAUUUUAAAACCAUGGUUGUUGUAUUUUUUUCCCUCCCUUUUUUAUGGACGGUUCAUGCAUCGACCGGCCGGACACCACUUGUGAUGCACAAGUGAUCACCAAAAUGAUGAUCACAAACAUGGGAAUGAUAAAGCUUUUCUCAAAUUUUAAAACCAUGGUUGUUGUUUUUUUUUCCCCUCCCUUUUUGGGUAUAUUACUAAUUUGUUAGUAAUUUGUGAAUACUCGAGGCACACAUUGUUGCUCUAUAUAUAGUACUGGCUAGCAUAAAUAUGGAUCACGUUUAGUGUCCCUAAUGCAUCCAAGACGUAUGCAUUGCGUUGGUCGAUCGUUCGUGCCCCAUACUUCACGACUUUCAAUCAAAUUAGCUAAUUACCAUCAGUUAAUCACCGUGAUUAUUGCUACUUUGCUAGCUAGGAGAUUGCCGCUUGGCGGCGCCGUGGCCUUAUGGCGCUAUCUAUGACAGCUCGUUCAUCAGACAUGUUACAAAAGAGCUAUGAGCUUAAAUCACGUGGUUCGGCUUUUAGCCUACAUUUAGCCUACGUCCACGGGCGAAAACAGAAGGAAAUAUUUUACUAGUGAAAAGGAGUUACAAGUAUUGUAGUAUUUUAGCUCACUACUCAAAACCCCAAUACACCCAAACUCUCUCAAUCACUGUAACAAGAGCUUAUAAAUGCAAGCUCUUAAACUCUCUCUUAAACUCCCUAAAUUGCUCUCUAAAAAUGGAAUGAUUUUGUUCUUCAAUUUCACUUGUAUUUAUAGCAAAGUAGUGGCCAAGAAAAUCAAAGCCGUGUUCACCAAAUUCUUCAUCAAAACCGUGUGCAAUUUUCAAAGCUUGCCAACUAUUCUUGUCAAAGCUUCUAGAUGCAGCCAAGAUGCAGCCAAGCCAAACUCUUCUAGAUGCAGCCAACGCCAACUUUGACAGCUAGGAGAUUGCCGCUUCGCGACGCCAUGGCCUUAUGGCGCUAUCUAUGACAGCUCGUUCAUCAGCCAUGUUACAAAAGAGUUAUGAGCUUAAGUCAUGCCGCGUCGUGGAAACUUGUGUAUUACUUGAUUUCGAUAGUUUUAUUCGUUCACGUUUGGACGGAGGGCCCAUGUCUCACAAAAGCCACAAUACUAAUAAGGUCAGCAUGAAGCACGAAACUCCUCGUUAGUUAAGUCUGAAAAUUCAUUGGUGCCCAACUUGUACGUCCGAUUCCCCUCCUUGUUGGCUUUCUCAAUGUAUUCAAGGUUUUGCUUGAAUAUAUUAAGACGCAUUGCCUUCUCUAGCUCGUCCUUGUAAGUGCGUCCAUGCUGAGCCAUCCAUUGUUCGUGUUUCUCAACGAUGGACGGUUCAUGCAUCGACCGGCCGGACACCACUUGUGAUGCACAAGUGAUCACCAAAAUGAUGAUCACAAACAUGGGAAUGAUAAAGCUUUUCUCAAAUUUUAAAACCAUGGUUGUUGUAUUUUUUUCCCUCCCUUUUUUGGUAUAUUACUAAUUUGUUAGUAAUUUGUGAAUACUCGAGGCACACAUUGUUGCUCUAUAUAUAGUACUGGCUAGCAUAUAUAUGGAUCACAUUUGGUGUCCCUAAUGCAUCCAAGACGUAUGCAUUGCGUUGGUCGAUCGUUCGUGCCCCAUACUUCACGACUUUCAAUCAAAUUAGCUAAUUAGCAUCAGUUAAUCACCGUGAUUAUUGCUACUUUGCUAGCUAGUGUUAGGAAAUUGGUGGGUGCAGCAGGACCGCAGCUAAAAUAAAAUUGGAAAUAAAAUAAAGAACAAGCACACUAGAGGACACCAGAAAUUACGUGGUUCGGCUUUUAGCCUACAUCCACGGGCGAAGACAGAAUGAAAUAUUUUACUAGUGAAAAGGAGUUACAAGUAUUGUAGUAUUUUAGCUCACUACCCAAAACCCCAAUACACCCAAACUCUCUCAAUCACUGUAACAAGAGCUUAUAAAUGCAAGCUCUUAAACUCUCUCUUAAACUCCCUAAAUUGCUCUCUAAAAAUGGAAUGAUUUUGUUCUUCAAUUUCACUUGUAUUUAUAGCAAAGUAGUGGCCAAGAAAAUCAAAGCCGUGUUCACCAAAUUCUUCAUCAAAACCGUGUGCAAUUUUCAAAGCUUGCCAACUAUUCUUGUCAAAGCUUCUAGAUGCAGCCAAGAUGCAGCCAAGCCAAACUCUUCUAGAUGCAGCCAACGCCAACUUUGACAGCUAGGAGAUUGCCGCUUCGCGACGCCAUGGCCUUAUGGCGCUAUCUAUGACAGCUCGUUCAUCAGCCAUGUUACAAAAGAGUUAUGAGCUUAAGUCAUGCCGCGUCGUGGAAACUUGUGUAUUACUUGAUUUCGAUAGUUUUAUUCGUUCACGUUUGGACGGAGGGCCCAUGUCUCACAAAAGCCACAAUACUAAUAAGGUCAGCAUGAAGGAAUGCUUAAUUCCCAGAUACAUCAAGAGUAUUAUAGCAUAAUAUACAAUUCGAAUUAAUGAAGGCAUAAUUGCAAGAAAAUACAAUAAAAAUCAUAAAUAUGUUAUGGCUUAUAAAAAUGGGAAACCAAUCUCCAUAUUAUUACAUUUGUGAGUAUGUGUGUUUUUCCUUUAUUUGUUUUUCAAAUUGAGCAUUAUAGAACACAACUUAGAGUAGUACAAAUUGAGUUUUCUUUAUUUCCGCUUCCCCGCGCACCUUGAGUAAAUAAGAAUGGGAAAGGAUAAGAGGAUCAUGCGAUUGACGUGAGAGAUUUGGGGAUGGUUAUAUUUCCAUGAGUGAACUCGAGGCCAAUAUGAAGUAAAUGGAUACAAGUUAAACCAUGAAACUAAAGACAAUUCCGAAUUAGCUUUGUCUACAAACAAGGAAAGUUGUAACUAAUUUAACCAUACGAAUCUUAUGGAGAGCUUGAACUAUGCUCGGAACGAAUGCCGGUGGCAUUCUAAUAACUAAGUUACCCUAAGAACUCAAAAGGAUUACAAAAUAAAAGAUAUGUUUAACUGUUGGAGUGGGGGCAACAGUAAAACUAAACAUAGAUACAAAAAAAGAGUCAUUAAUCACUUAAGAGCCCCUUGUUUCGUCACCAUAUUCUUUGGGCGUGCUCCUAUUCAACAUUUUCGUUAUAUAUAUAUAUAUAUAUAGUCUUUAUCUAAUAAGGGAUCUUUUAAGUUGUUGAAAUAAAGGACAAACUAAAUUACAAACAAAACACAUACUGCAGUGCAGUGUAUUUUGUUCUGUACUAUAUUGAAGUUUGUAUUUUUAUUGUCCUUUAACUUAUUUCUAACUUUAAUAAUUUAAGAAAUCCUUCAAUCUAUGUGUGUCUAUUUUAAUAAUUUUUUUUGUUAUCUGGUUUUUUCCAAUUGUGCUUCUCCAAAUCACGAAAAGGAUGUUGAGCUCAUACACUCAAGAGUGCGCAUCAGCGAAUAUCAUUAAAUUAGUUUAUUUUUCUUUUAUAUAAUUUCUUUUUUUAAUUAACGUAACAACAUAAAUAAACCAUUGAUAAAUAACUAUCUGAUAAGUUAAUAAUCUUGAUAAAUAAUUAAAUCAUCAAGUUCCAAAUUGAGCCAGUGUAGCAAAUAAAUAGCUUUGUUAAAUGCGUAAGACAAUAGCGACUUUUUGAAUCCUUUAGGACCCAUUGAAAAUAUAAACUCAUAAUUAAUCUCAUACAAAAAUUAAUAAUGAAUAAAUUAUAUAACUCAUAAAAUUAAGGAACUUUUUUUUUACAAUUUCUAUUAUUUGAAUUCAAUUCUUUGAAAAAUAUGCAUCUAAAGUUUUUCUUUUGCUUUUUUAGCUUCUCUUCGUUCCUAACUGAGCGCAUGUCGUCAUUAAUUAUUUUGUAGAGCAUGCACUACAUUUAGUAUAUCUUUUUCUAUCAAUUAAGAUUUUCUUUUUUCUUUUUACUUCUUUCAAAUGAGAACCCAUGAAGCCCAAAAAUAUGAAAAUUAUUAUGAUAUGAGACUAGAAAUUAUAAAAUAAUCAAAUUAAUCUUGAGAAUACUUUUGUAUUCAUAUUUUUCAAAAGUAAAUACUUACACAAUAGUGGUAUAUGUAUGAUUACACAAACUAAGGAAAGGCAAAAAAGAAAUAUUGUAUAAUUACAAGUUGCUUAACAAAGCUACACUAUUAUAAGUGGGAGCCAUUUGAGAAUAUAUCAUUGACUUAAGGAAGCACGAUUUAUGUUCUUUUACACGUAAAUAUGUACAUAUAUCGAUAAAAUUCUUAAAACAAAAAAUCUCUUUCUAAAUUAAUAAAUAUUCAUUUAUUGGUAAAUUAAUAACAUCACAAAACUAAUAGUUUUCCUUAAUCCCAACAAUAUUAUUUUAUAGAAAAUUUACUGUAGAUGAUAUAAUGUAUUUAAAAUCUAUCCAAGACUCGAUCAAACAGUAAAAUCUAUGUAAAAUAAGAUAAAAAAUAUAUUAUUCUUUUCUGUCAGGUAUUCUAUGAUUUUCAUAAGAACUAAGAAUAUUAAGUUUUGUGAUAGUUAAAAGACAACUCAUCAUAUCCCAUCACCUUGGAAGGUCUAAUUGAACAAUUGUUAAUGACUAGAACAACAAUGUAGCAGUUCAAUCCAUAUGUCACUAUAUGUCACUAUUGGGACCAAAUAUCAAUACUUCCUUUAAAAUUACAUAAAUAAAAAGAAAUUACAAAAGUACCUCAAAAUUAAUUCCAGCUGAAGCAGCUGAUCUCUUGAUAUUUGCGGCAUAAUUUUUGAAGAAGUUGUUUGUAAAGUCGGUCCUGAAAUCACAAGCUCCACAAGUUGUUCGGGCAUGUGUGUGUGUGCCUAUAUACAUAUACAUACAUACAUACAUACAUACAUACAUACAUACAUACAUAUAUAUUAAUAAAAAAUUAGAAGGAAGAAAUUGGUAAUUUGUAUGAUUGUAUUUUUGAAAAACUAAGAAUAAAGGGAUCUAUAUAAAACUUGCCAGGGAUUAGUCCCCAAUACAAUUAAAUUAGACCAUGCUUAGUAUUGAGAUUAUGCAGUUUUAAUUUAAAUGCCACAGUGCUAAAGUGUUUAGUAAAUACUAGCUAAUAUAACUGGUUAAGUUGAUUUAAUCCAUUACUUAUAAUACUAGUCCUAUAUGAUAAAAAAGAUAUAACAUCUUUAUUAUUUUUAUCAAAUUAAGUUAUUAUUUAAAAAUCUUAUUUAUUACAUACUAUUAAGCUUUAUUUUAAAGUCAUAAUUUUUUGCUACAAUAGCUACACUUCCUCAAUAUUGAACAGGACCUUAGUCAUCUCUAUAGCUAUUAUAUUUUAAUAAAUUUUAAAUAGAGCUAUCUAUCUAAAAUUUUGCAGGAUCAACCUUGGCUGUAAUUGUAGACCUUUGAUAUUCGGACUUCCAACCUUGGCCGUUAGAUAUAAUCAAGCACUGUCUGAUAUCAAUUGCCGCCAACAAUAAACAAGAUCGAAUUAGCUCUCCUUAUAAAUUUUUCUUCAAUAAACCAUGAGGCAAUCGCUCUCAUUAUAGAUUUGCUUCAUAAAUCAUAAGCUAACUGUGUCUUGCAAAAUCUUCAAAAAAAAUUGCAACUACCAAGUUGGAAUACUGCUUAUCGUAUUUACUCUUAAAUUUCAUCUAAUUUUUUCAGUCAUAGACUUACUCUCCGUGCAGGAUCAAUUUUUCCUCCUCUAUCUAAAAAUUGACGUUGAAAUGGCAAGUACUUGAAAAUUACAAAAACUAUCAAUUUUUUCCCCCUUAAACUAGCCGGGUCAACAUUCUGCAAAGAGAGAUUUAUGAUACCAAUUCUUAAUAACUCCAAUAAACGUACCCAAAAAAAACCCUAAGGAGAAAAAAAUGGAAGAAAGUAUAAAUAAAAUUUUUGGAUUAAUUUGUGCAAAAAAGACCAAAAUCAAAUUUAAUUUAGUUCUUCUCUUACCUAUCCUCUUGAGGAGUCCACUGCCCUUUGAUUAUGUUGUUCUUCUUUGGAAGUUUCCUUUCUCUUUUCAUAGGUAUCCUUUUGUUCCUCUUUUGAUCUUGAUUAUAUGCAUUUUCUCCAGUUACACGUGAGACUUCAUCGGACAAUUUUGAACUCGAUGAUCCAUAAUCUUGAAAAUUCAUUUGUAUCGGCUGAAAAUUUAGAGUUUCCAGCUUGGGGUGAGCUGAAAAAUUCUGUGAAUAAUCCCAAAAUCCUCUUCUUUCCGGGUGCAAAACCUCGUUUGUACUAUUCCGUACCAACGGAGUGGCGGUAUAUGCACUCUUAGUACCUAAACACCCAUUUGAAUAGCCCUCAAGAGGAUCGAAACUCAUUGUUGAGAUCCCAAGAGGGGGGCUUUUUGAGGAUCCUUCGAUGGUAAAUCGAUUAAGAUGGUGAGGAUUUGAAAAAGUGGACUCACUAAUAAGACCAUAAUCAUGGUUAUUAUGAUAGUUGUGAAACAAUAUACCUUUAGAAGAUGGAUUUUCUAGACGAGAACCCAUUAUCUAGGUCUGAUUUGAAGAGAUUAUUAGGAAAUAGGCUUGAUAUGAAAGGAUAAUCAUCUCGAAAACUUAAAUCAAGCUCCAUGUAGUAGAGAGAGUAAAGAAAAAAAAUAAAACAAAAUAAAAAAAAAUAAAAAUUAAGCUCUCAAGAAAGGAAGGGUGGUUAAAUGUUAAAUAGAGAGAUGGGGCUAAAUUUAUGUGGCUAUUGAUAUCAUCACCCGUAAUUGCUGGCCUGCAAUGCUCACCUCUCUCGGAUGCACUGCCGACGAAGGAAAUAUACUGAGAGGCUACUGUGAUGCAUCUUCUGCUCCUUCACCAGGUGGCCUCGCGGUGAUAUAUCAGCCUCAGGUUUCCAAGGCUUUGGCUUAGGCAAGGUGCAUUUAUGGCACUUCUGUUUCCGUGGUGUUAAUUUAACUAAUGCAAGUUUAAAUAAUUAAAAAAGUCUUUUGGGUUUUAGCUUUGCUUUAUUUUUUUCAUGUUUUUUUUUUGGAAGUCUUGCCUCUUAAUCGAAUAGAAUAAAUCGUUAAAAGUAGAAUAAGAAAAAAAGAAUCGAAUAGAAUAAAUCGUUUUUUUUGGAAGUCUUGCCUCUUAAUCGAAUAGAAUAAAUCGUUAAAAGUAGAAUAAGAAAAAAAGAAUAAUACUAAAUUCUUUUUUCAAAGCCGCACAAAUGCGGUUCUAUUUCUUAGUUAUUAUAUAAAUCAAGACCGUUUGGUGGGCACCGGAUGCUUUGAAGAAGAUCAUACAGUCGAGAUACGACUGAAGGGGCACUAUUAGUGGGACAAAGCAAAGAGAAUUAAGGCUACAACAACGUUGUCUUAAUUUUAAUGAUUUAUUAGCGUUUGUUGUGUUAUUACUUUAUCACCCUUCUUCAAUUGUUUGUAUGCUUUGUGUGUGAACAAAAUUUCAGGGUCUUGUGUUUUAUUAAUUAUUGGUAAAUGUCUCGAACUGGGGAGCAAACCCAGUCAAGCCACUUAAGGGGACUCCAUUGCCAGUGGAGCCAACACUUUGUUGGUAGAGCUUGAGCUCUUUCAUCAUGCCAAUUUAAGCUAAAAUUUUAUAUUUUCUGCUCACAAUUUUUUUUUUUUACUAUAAAUUAAAAGGGUGAUUAAGUAACUUCAGGACCAAGUUUCCAACCACAAUUUUAGUCGUUUUUGAUAGGGCGAGGAGGUCUGAAACUUGGGAAGCUGGUUUGAAGCCAAAACUGUGGAGGAAGCAUGUGUCCAUAAUUUUUUAACCAAAGUGACUUUUUGUAACUGAAUUAUUAAUGUUUUUUUCCUUUUUUGUUUUAAAUAAAUGACACUAUUAAAUUCUAAUUAAGUUUUUGCUAAAACCUUUUGUUAAAUCUGGAAAUUUUAACGUUACGUUCAUGGUCAUAGUCAUAAAUUUGAAUCAAUCCAAAUUAUCACUUCACUCUUGCAACUUGGACUCCCUGAAAGAGAAAAUAGAGGAUAAACAAACCUCAUUAAAUUUUUACUGAGGUUUAGAAAAACAAUUAAUAUUAGGUUUUAAUGUGUUUUUACAUAUUCAUGACAUUACAGACUUACUAUAUAUUCAUUAAAAAUUCAAAAAUAACAUUAAUAUUAUUUAUUUAUCUUGACCAAGGAUAAGGUUUCUAAAUUCUAAUUGAACUGCAACUAAAUCCAGCUUUAUGAAUGCUUAAAGAUGUGGAAAUCAAGUAGAUUUUCUUUUGAUAGAUAUAUACAAAAGCAACGAAAUUUGAGGCCAUCUCUCUCCCUCCCCCUCUCUCUUUUCAUUUCCGCAAUUUAUAUAUAUUAUUUAUAUUAGGUUAUAACCCACCGAGAUUUUAUUAUUUAUAUACUCAACUACUAUAUAAUAACAAAAAAUUUAAAUUUAAAUAGAAGUUAUGGGUACUAAAGGCUUAGUAUGUGAUGAAAAUAUUAUAGCAUUCUUUAGAUUAAUUGUAAAUUCUUAAAAGAAAUGAAUUUAUAAUAGAAAUAAGACCGUAAGGGUUGUAACUACACGUGAAAAUGGCAUGUGGAAAUUUUUUCUAUUUAGGAGUAAAAUCAUGUCCAUCUUUUGUCUUAUAUAUAUAUAUAUUCGUAACUUUAUUGGAAACUUAGGUAAUUUCUUGGAUGCGUAUUGCAUGCAAAUGCAAAAUGGAAGGGCCCUUUUUUGAUUUCUAACAUAAAAGUUAAUUAAAUUAAAAAUUGCGUUAAUAGACAAAGAUGAUGAUUUUGUGGGGGUGGUUGGUUAAGGUUGAGAAUCUACAGCAACUAAAAUGAGUGCAUGAAAUCCAUUUGUCCCUCUAAAAUUUUUUUAUUACAGUUGUGUGUUUUCAGUGCAUGAAGACCAUUUGGACUUUGCUCAACUCCAAUUGGAGCCACAUAUAAUAAGGUUAGCAUUUUUCUUAUUGCACGCCUAGCUGGAUGGAAAUGGCUUUCAUUUUGUUUCUAUUUAUGAAUAUAAUUUUAUACCGAUUUUAGAAAACUAAUGACUUCAAAGAAGAUAACCAUAACCAACUAAAUGAUAAAGAUUGCAAGCCAAUAAAUGAAAAGUUUAGGAAAAAGACAGAAAGAAAUAAUUAUGGACUUCAAAGUAGUAUCUAAAAUUUUGAAGGAAAGAAAGUUAUUAGUAUUAAAAAUUUUAAUGAAUAAACAUUCUCUUAAGAAUCAUACAUGGUUAUGGUUUAGAAUGGAUUAUGGAUGGUAGUUGGUUUAAUUGUAAAUUUGUGUAAAGUGGUACAAGAGAUAUAACUUCAAAUCUCAAAUUUACAUUAGAAUUAAGAAAUAUUAAUAUAGCAGUGAGUCCCAUAGUGAGAUUACCGGUGUCACAUAAUAGUAUGCACAUACACAGAGAAUAUAUUUAUAUGUAUAUAUAUCUACACCAACGAUACAUAAUAGUAUGUGUCUGUAUGUGUGUCUAUACACACACACACACAGAGAAAUGUUUUUUUUGUUUUAGCCCAUAAUACUACUUGAGUGUGUUCGGUUUGUAUGCUUGAAUGAUAGAGCAAUAGGUUUCAUAGUGGGAUCAGCGGUGUCACAUAAUCUAAUAGGAGAAAUUCUAGAAUUUCUUAUCUAAUAGAUAUAGGAUUCACAAAAUUUACCUUUAGUGGUUAUAAAACUUUGGAAUAUGAAUAAAAUAAAACAAUUUGUAUGUUAAUUUUAUGUGUGAGAUUUAUGGGCAUAAAUAAUAAAAUAAAAUAAACGUUGACAAUGGCAUAAACAUAUAGUAAUAUAAAACCUCUCAUUUUUUUAAGUGAACCUCCGCAAAAUAUUUAUUAACGGUACUUGUAUAAACAUUAUCAAAACUGAUGUAAAAAAUCUACUCUAAUGUCACAAGCUUUUAUUGAUUGAGUUGCAAAAUAUACAUCAACCUAAAUUGAGUGGUAUGCGUAACUAUAAAUUUUCUCUUUGGUUCUAAUAACUAAAAUCUUUUGUGGUUACCAUGAAAUAUAACUUAAUUUGAGCCAUUUGUGUACUAAAAAAUUUCUCUUUUGAUCUUGUAGCGAAACUCAUCUCCGUCAUUAUACCAUUCACUAAAUUCAGAGUGAUGAAUAUGAGAAGAAUAAAUGCUCAAAAGAAAAUGAAGUUGUUGCUCAUCGAGGAUAUGUAUGUUAUUUUUUUUUUUUUGGUGCAUUAAACCAUCUAGUAUUCAAAGACCACAUUGGACUCUGACUAAUUUAAAUUCGAGUCAGGCAAGACCACUAGGCCGGGAAAGCUCUCCCAACAAGUAUUUAACACAGCUGCAUCCACAAGAUCGAACCAACGAUCUUGAUUAAGUUAGAACAAUCUCAUACCAGCUGAUCUACACGCUUGUUGGUUAUUUUACUUCAUUCAUAUUCUCAAAAUAGUACUUAAGCUUCACGGUUAAUAUCUGCUGGGAGGAGUGUGAAUGUAUUUUAAAACAUGAGCUGGUUCCAAUUAAUUGCUCCAAAUUAACAAUUGGAGCCGGCUUUUUUCACAAUUUUCUCCUAAAAUACUUUUAUUUAAAAAAACCUUUCAAUUUAUCAAUAAGAAUUUGAUAAAUAAAUAAUAUAAUUAAUUUAUUACUUAAAUUGUAAUAAAGUAACUGCGGCGAAGAUGAAAAUUAUAUUUAAACAAGAGAUUUAACAUUAAUUAUAGAAGAUACCAAGUAUACUGGCAUUAAUUCCAUUACAAACAUUAAGAAAUAUAGAAAAUUAACCACACAAUAGAUAAAUAUCAGCUUUCAGUGGCUAGCUAAUACAUCCGUGGGCUAAUUUGAAGUUGAUGAAGAUAUCAUCAAUACUCCAAAACUAAUUAAGACUCCAACAAGAUUAAAUUAUUUCCACAUGUAGGAUAGCACAACCUCAUUGAUACUGCUAUGAAGAGGAGGCUAAUAAAAUUAUAGUAGUCAUAUUGCAACUGGAUAGGAAGCCGCAGUGGCAAUGCCACAGAGACCUGCAUCUCUGAGAAUCCUUAUGUAGCCGGACUCACCCCAAGUCUCCCCCCACGAAUUCUUAAUUAACCAGUAUUUGGCUCCAUUUUCUUCUUCAGCAGUUCCAAACCCAACAACAGCGACACCAUGAUCACAGUUAUUCCCACAGUCUGCAUUAAGCACACCGCUUUUGUAAAAAUGGAAGGCUCGUCCGCUCGCGUCAACACAAACUGAUACUGGCUGAUUGCUUACGGCCUGGAGUAAGGCUUGCUCGUCACCUUUCGGUAAAUCUUCAUAUUUACUGAUUGUAGCAGCAACUGCUUUCUCUUUCUGAUUGUCACAGGUUCCUUCUUCGUGCCGGUACGGAUAGUCCGCUUCUGUGGCAAGGCCCUUAUUUUCUAUAAUAUACUCAAAGGCCUUAUCCAUAAGACCCCCACUGCAUCCAUGGUUGUCUGUUGAGCAGUCUACCAACUGCUGCUCCGAAAGUUCAAUAAGUUUUCCCCUAGUAAUCUGAGUGAUCCCUUCCACCGCCGCCACAGCUGAAAAUGCCCAACAGGAUCCUGUAAAAUAAUAUUGCAUGCAUGGUUAAUAAGUUACGUUAGACGACGAAUAAUAAUUUGUUGUACAUGACGUGACAGCUACAAACACUCUGCAGCAUCACUUCAUCAAUCUAUAAUAAUUACUUACCACAUUGGCCUUGAUCCUUUAUAUGAGUGACAGCUCCUUUCUCCCUCCAGUCGAUGCUAGUCGGAACAUCAGUCACGUUUUGGUACUUGAAGGUGGAUGGCCGUGAUGACUGGCGGCUUACGCUUGGUACUGGCCUGUUGUAUCCUGUAUAUAAAGCACGAAACUCCUCGUUAGUUAAGUCUGAAAAUUCAUUGGUGCCCAACUUGUACGUCCGAUUCCCCUCCUUGUUGGCUUUCUCAAUGUAUUCAAGGUUUUGCUUGAAUAUAUUAAGACGCAUUGCCUUCUCUAGCUCGUCCUUGUAAGUGCGUCCAUGCUGAGCCAUCCAUUGUUCGUGUUUCUCAACGAUGGACGGUUCAUGCAUCGACCGGCCGGACACCACUUGUGAUGCACAAGUGAUCACCAAAAUGAUGAUCACAAACAGUUUGUAUGCUUGAAUGAUAGAGCAAUAGGUUUCAUAGUGGGAUCAGCGGUGUCACAUAAUCUAAUAGGAGAAAUUCUAGAAUUUCUUAUCUAAUAGAUAUAGGAUUCACAAAAUUUACCUUUAGUGGUUAUAAAACUUUGGAAUAUGAAUAAAAUAAAACAAUUUGUAUGUUAAUUUUAUGUGUGAGAUUUAUGGGCAUAAAUAAUAAAAUAAAAUAAACGUUGACAAUGGCAUAAACAUAUAGUAAUAUAAAACCUCUCAUUUUUUUAAGUGAACCUCCGCAAAAUAUUUAUUAACGGUACUUGUAUAAACAUUAUCAAAACUGAUGUAAAAAAUCUACUCUAAUGUCACAAGCUUUUAUUGAUUGAGUUGCAAAAUAUACAUCAACCUAAAUUGAGUGGUAUGCGUAACUAUAAAUUUUCUCUUUGGUUCUAAUAACUAAAAUCUUUUGUGGUUACCAUGAAAUAUAACUUAAUUUGAGCCAUUUGUGUACUAAAAAAUUUCUCUUUUGAUCUUGUAGCGAAACUCAUCUCCGUCAUUAUACCAUUCACUAAAUUCAGAGUGAUGAAUAUGAGAAGAAUAAAUGCUCAAAAGAAAAUGAAGUUGUUGCUCAUCGAGGAUAUGUAUGUUAUUUUUUUUUUUUUUGGUGCAUUAAACCAUCUAGUAUUCAAAGACCACAUUGGACUCCGACUAAUUUAAAUUCGAGUCAGGCAAGACCACUAGGCCGGGAAAGCUCUCCCAACAAGUAUUUAACACAGCUGCAUCCACAAGAUCGAACCAACGAUCUUGAUUAAGUUAGAACAAUCUCAUACCAGCUGAUCUACACGCUUGUUGGUUAUUUUACUUCAUUCAUAUUCUCAAAAUAGUACUUAAGCUUCACGGUUAAUAUCUGCUGGGAGGAGUGUGAAUGUAUUUUAAAACAUGAGCUGGUUCCAAUUAAUUGCUCCAAAUUAACAAUUGGAGCCGGCUUUUUUCACAAUUUUCUCCUAAAAUACUUUUAUUUAAAAAAACCUUUCAAUUUAUCAAUAAGAAUUUGAUAAAUAAAUAAUAUAAUUAAUUUAUUACUUAAAUUGUAAUAAAGUAACUGCGGCGAAGAUGAAAAUUAUAUUUAAACAAGAGAUUUAACAUUAAUUAUAGAAGAUACCAAGUAUACUGGCAUUAAUUCCAUUACAAACAUUAAGAAAUAUAGAAAAUUAACCACACAAUAGAUAAAUAUCAGCUUUCAGUGGCUAGCUAAUACAUCCGUGGGUUAAUUUGAAGUUGAUGAAGAUAUCAUCAAUACUCCAAAACUAAUUAAGACUCCAACAAGAUUAAAUUAUUUCCACAUGUAGGAUAGCACAACCUCAUUGAUACUGCUAUGAAGAGGAGGCUAAUAAAAUUAUAGUAGUCAUAUUGCAACUGGAUAGGAAGCCGCAGUGGCAAUGCCACAGAGACCUGCAUCUCUGAGAAUCCUUAUGUAGCCGGACUCACCCCAAGUCUCCCCCCACGAAUUCUUAAUUAACCAGUAUUUGGCUCCAUUUUCUUCUUCAGCAGUUCCAAACCCAACAACAGCGACACCAUGAUCACAGUUAUUCCCACAGUCUGCAUUAAGCACACCGCUUUUGUAAAAAUGGAAGGCUCGUCCGCUCGCGUCAACACAAACUGAUACUGGCUGAUUGCUUACGGCCUGGAGUAAGGCUUGCUCGUCACCUUUCGGUAAAUCUUCAUAUUUACUGAUUGUAGCAGCAACUGCUUUCUCUUUCUGAUUGUCACAGGUUCCUUCUUCGUGCCGGUACGGAUAGUCCGCUUCUGUGGCAAGGCCCUUAUUUUCUAUAAUAUACUCAAAGGCCUUAUCCAUAAGACCCCCACUGCAUCCAUGGUUGUCUGUUGAGCAGUCUACCAACUGCUGCUCCGAAAGUUCAAUAAGUUUUCCCCUAGUAAUCUGAGUGAUCCCUUCCACCGCCGCCACAGCUGAAAAUGCCCAACAGGAUCCUGCAGAAUAAUAUUGCAUGUUACGUUAGACGACGAAUAAUAAUAUUAUAUAAUAUUCUAGGUUAAUUUGUUGUACAUGAUGUGACAGCUACAAACAAUCUGCAGCAUCACUUCAUCAAUAUAUAUAUAAUUAAUUAAUUACCACAAUGGCCUUGGUUCUUUAUAUGAGUGACAGCUCCUUUCUCCCUCCAGUCGAUGCUAGUCGGAACAUCAGUCACGUUUUGGUACUUGAAGGUGGAUGGCCGUGAUGACUGGCGGCUCACGCUUGGUACUGGCCUGUUGUAUCCUGUAUAUAAAGCACGAAACUCCUCGUUAGUUAAGUCUGAAAAUUCAUUGGUGCCCAACUUGUACGUCCG